UACGAACCGUACGAACGUCAUUCGGAAUUACUGGGCUUAAAGGGUUUGUAGGCGGCCAUGUAAGUCAGGUGUGAAAUCCCUCGGCUCAACCGGGGAACGGCGCUUGAUACUGCAUGGCUUGAGGGAGACAGGGGUAAGCGGAACUGAUGGUGGAGCGGUGAAAUGCGUUAAUAUCAUCAGGAACACCGGUGGCGAAAGCGGCUUACUGGGUCUCUCCCGACGCUGAGGAACGAAAGCUAGGGUAGCGAACGGG
rnacentral:rRNA from 1 species